GUUUAAGAUGGCAGAAUGUGGUUUUGCAAAAGACCUAAGCUCUUUAUAUAAAGGUUCAAAUCCUUUUCUAAACU
rnacentral:tRNA from 1 species